rnacentral:rRNA from 1 species
UACGUAGGGUGCGAGCGUUAAUCGGAAUUACUGGGCGUAAAGCGUGCGUAGGCGGUUCGUCGUGUCCGUCGUGAAAGCCCCGGGCUUAACCUGGGAACUGCGAUGGAAACUAGCGAGCUGGAGUGUGGCAGAGGAGGGUGGAAUUCCGCGUGUAGCAGUGAAAUGCGUAGAGAUGCGGAGGAACACCGAUGGCGAAGGCAGCCCUCUGGGCUAACACUGACGCUCAGGCACGAAAGCGUGGGGAGCAAACAGG